rnacentral:rRNA from 1 species
AUUGAACGCUGGCGGCAGGCUUAACACAUGCAAGUCGAGCGGAGCGAGGGUGCUUGCACCUUAGCUUAGCGGCGGACGGGUGAGUAAUGCUUAGGAAUCUGCCUAUUAGUGGGGGACAACAUUCCGAAAGGGAUGCUAAUAUCGCAUACGCCCUACGGGGGAAAGCAGGGGAUCUUCGGACCUUGCGCUAAUAGAUGAGCCUAAGUCGGAUUAGCUAGUUGGUGGGGUAAAGGCCUACCAAGGCGACGAUCUGUAGCGGGUCUGAGAGGAUGAUCCGCCACACUGGGACUGAGACACGGCCCAGACUCCUACGGGAGGCAGCAGUGGGGAAUAUUGGACAAUGGGCGGAAGCCUGAUCCAGCCAUGCCGCGUGUGUGAAGAAGGCCUUUUGGUUGUAAAGCACUUUAAGCGAGGAGGAGGCUACUAGUAUUAAUACUACUGGAUAGUGGACGUUACUCGCAGAAUAAGCACCGGCUAACUCUGUGCCAGCCGCCGCAGUAAAAC